rnacentral:ncRNA from 1 species
AAUAUUAAGAGUUUGAUCCUGGCUCAGAAUGAAUGCUAUUGAUUAAUUUUACACAUGCAAGUUACAAAUAUUAAUUCAGUAUUUUAGCGUACGGGUGAGUAAUAUGUAAAAAUUAUUUAAAUUUCCAAAUUUAAAGAUUUUGCACAAGAUUAAGUUUUAAUAAAUUUUUAAUUUUUUAUUAGCUUACAAUCUUUAGUUGGUCUUUGAGGAUGAUCAACCACAUUGGAAUUGAAAAAUGGUUCAAACUUUAUUUAGGCAGCAGUGAAGGAUAUUGGACAAUGAGCGAAAGCUUGAUCCAGUUAAAUCAAUUAUGUGAUGAAGAUUUUUUAUUGUAAAACAUUAGCUAAUAAAAAAAUAAUGAUUUUUAUUAACUUAACUCUGGCUAAUUUCGUGCCAGCAGCCGCGGUAAAACGAGAAGGGUUAGUGUUAUUCAGAUUUAUUGGGCAUAAAGAAUUAUUAGGUUGCAAAUUUAUGAAAAAUAUUUUAAUUUAAAAAGAAAAUUUUAUUUUUACUAAAAUUAUUACAUUAAUUUGCUAGAGUUUAAUAAUAAAAGAUUAUAGAAUUUUAAAUGUAACAGUAAAAUGUAUUGAUAUUUAAAAGAAUUUCAAUAGUAAACUCAGUAAUCUAAAUUAAAACUGACACUUUUUAAUUAAAGUAUAGGUAGCAAAAGGGAUUAGAUACCCCUGUAGUCUAUACCCUGAACUAUGAAUGUUUUUAUAAAAUAUCUUGUUUAUAAUUAAGUUAAUACAACAAACAUUUCGCCUGGGAACUACGAUCGCAAGAUUAAAACUUAAAGGAAUUGACGGGAAUUCAAACAAGCAGUGGAACAUGUGGUUUAAAUCGACAGUACGCGCGAAACCUUACCAAUUUUUGAAUUUUUUAACAAGUGUUGCAUGGCUGUCGUCAGUCCGUGCUUUGAAGUGUUUGGUUUAUUCCAAUUAAACGGACGAAACUUUUCUUUGCUUUUCUUUGCUUUUAUAACUAAGGAUAUCUUAUUAGAAAAAAACAACGUCAAGUCCUCAUGACCUUUAUAAAUUGGGCUACUUUCAUGUGUUACAAUUUUUUUUACAACGUUUAAUUAAAUAUAAAAAGAAAUUUUUAAUAAUAUUAAAAAAAAAUUCGGAUUGUUUUCUGAAAUUUGAAAAUAUGAAGUUGGAAUUGCUAGUAAUCGUUAAUAAGAAUGUAACGGUGAAUAUGUUCUUGAAUUUUGUACACACCGCCCGUCACGCUAUGGGAAUUUAAUUUAUUUGAAGUUUAAUAUAAUUAUUAAUUAUUUUAUUUUAAAGUAAAUAAAGGACUGGAGUGAAGUCGUAACAAGGUAGCCGUAGGGGAACCUGUGGCUGGAUUAAUAUAUUUAA